ensembl:snoRNA
UGGAUCGAUGCUGACCACCGGUGGCGUGUGCGUCUUAGGCAAUGAUCACGUGUCUGAAACUCGGAGGUCUGU